rnacentral:rRNA from 1 species
CAGCCGUAAACUAUGCUCGCUAGGUGUCAGGCAUGGCGCGACCGUGUCUGGUGCCGCAGGGAAGCCGUGAAGCGAGCCACCUGGGAAGUGCGGCCGCAAGGCUGAAACUUAAAGGAAUUGGCGGGGGAGCACAACAACGGGUGGAGCCUGCGGUUUAAUUGGACUCAACGCCGGACAACUCACCGGGGACGACAGCAAUAUGUAGGCCAGGCUGAAGACCUUGCCUGAAUCGCUGAGAGGUGGUGCAUGGCGUCAGUGACU